rnacentral:rRNA from 1 species
UCCGGAAUUAUUGGGCGUAAAGAGCUCGUAGGCGGCGUGUCGCGUUUGCUUUGAAAGACCGGGGCUUAAUUCCGGUUCUGCAGUGGAUACGGGCAUGCUAGAGGUAGGUAGGGGAGACUGGAAUUCCUGGUGUAGCGGUGAAAUGCGCAGAUAUCAGGAGGAACACCGGUGGCGAAGGCGGGUCUCUGGGCCUUACCUGACGCUGAGGAGCGAAAGCAUGGGGAGCGAACAGGAUUAGAUACCCUGGUAGUCCAUGCCGUAAACGUUGGGCGCUAGGUGUGGGGACUUUCCACGGUUUCCGCGCCGUAGCUAACGCAUUAAGCGCCCCGCCUGGGGAGUACGGCCGCAAGGCUAAAACUCAAAGGAAUUGACGGGGGCCCGCACAAGCGGCGGAGCAUGUUGCUUAAUUUGACGCAACGCGAAGAACCUUACCAAGGUUUGACAUCACCCGUGGACUCGCAGAGAUGUGAGGUCAUUUAGUUGGCGGGUGACAGGUGGUGCAUGGCUGUCGUCAGCUCGUGUCGUGAGAUGUUGGGUUAAGUCCCGCAACGAGCGCAACCCUUGUUCCAUGUUGCCAGCACGUAAUGGUGGGGACUCAUGGGAGACUGCCGGGGUCAACUCGGAGGAAGGUGGGGAUGACGUCAAGUCAUCAUGCCCCUUAUGUCUUGGGCUGCAAACAUGCUACAAUGGCCGGUACAAUGGGCGUGCGAUACCGUAAGGUGGAGCGAAUCCCUAAAAGCCGGUCUCAGUUCGGAUUGGGGUCUGCAACUCGACCCCAUGAAGGUGGAGUCGCUAGUAAUCGCGGAUCAGCAACGCCGCGGUGAAUACGUUCCCGGGCCUUGUACACACCGCCCGUCACGUCAUGAAAGUCGGCAACACCCGAAACUUGCGG